UGCUCAGCCUGGAGCUGAAAACCAUCCUGACUCAGAGGAGCACAGAGACUCGAGCCAUCUGUCUCUCAGCAACAUCAGCAGGGAGUCACCUGAGGGAGAAGAGGAUGAGUACUCCCUGGAUG